rnacentral:rRNA from 1 species
AAACAGCUAGCUUAUCCACCAAUAUAACCAAAUAAUAUAAAUAAAAUAGAAUAGGCCGAACACCAAAAACUAAACCAUUCUUUUACCUGAGUAUGGGAGACAGAAAAGGUUCAACCAAAGCAAUAGAAAUAGUACCGCAAGGGAAAGCUGAAAGAGAAAUGAAAUAACCCAUAUAAGUAACAAAAAGCAAAGACUAAACCUUGUACCUUUUGCAUCAUGAUUUAGCCAGUAAACACAAGCAAAGAGACCUUUAGUUUGAAACCCCGAAACCAGGUGAGCUACCCCGAGACAGCCUAUUAAGGGCCAACCCGUCUCUGUGGCAAAAGAGUGGGAAGAGCUCCGGGUAGAAGUGACAGACCUACCGAACCUGGUGAUAGCUGGUUGCCUAAGAAAUGAAUAGAAGUUCAGCCUCGUACACCUCAAAUCAAAUAAACACCAAUCAAGACACCAAGAGAAAGACACGAGAGUUAGUUAAAGGGGGUACAGCCCCUUCAACAAAGGACACAACCUUAUUCAGGAGGAUAAAGAUCAUAAUAUAUAAAACAUACUGUUCUAGUGGGCCUAAAGGCAGCCACCUAAACAGAAAGCGUUAAAGCUCAGACAGAAAAAAGUUUAUUAUUCUGAUAAAAAAUCUUACUCCCCUAAAUACUAUUAGGCUAAUCCAUGCCCCCAUGGAAGAAAUUAUGCUAAAAUGAGUAACAAGAAGGCCCGCCCUUCUCCAAGCACAAGUGUAAGCCAAACCGGACCAACCAUUGGCAACUAACGAACUCAACCCAAGAGAGCAAUGUGAACCAUAAAAAAAACCAGAAAAACCCACAACUCAACAAUCGUUAACCCCACACUGGAUUGCUAUUAAAGGAAAGACUAAAAGAAAAGGAAGGAACUCGGCAAACACAAGCCUCGCCUGUUUACCAAAAACAUCGCCUCCUGCAACGCAGCCAUGUAUAGGAGGUCCAGCCUGCCCAGUGACUACAAGUUCAACGGCCGCGGUAUUUUGACCGUGCAAAGGUAGCGCAAUCACUUGUCUUUUAAAUAGA